GUGGCCGUAGUUCAGUUGGUAGAACUCAGCAUUGUGAUUGCUGUCGUCGACGGUUCAAAUCCGUCCGGUCACCCCA
rnacentral:tRNA from 3 species